rnacentral:rRNA from 1 species
UACAGAGGUCUCAAGCGUUGUUCGGAUUCAUUGGGCGUAAAGGGCGCGUAGGCGGCGGCGUAAGUCGGGUGUGAAAUCCCUCGGCCCAACCGAGGAACUGCGCCCGACACUGCGUUGCUUGAGGAUCAGAGGGGUGCACGGAAUUUCCGGUGGAGCGGUGAAAUGCGUUGAUAUCGGAAGGAACGUCGGCGGCGAAAGCGGUGCACUGGCUGAUUUCUGACGCUGAGGUGCGAAAGCCAGGGGAGCAAACGGG